UUUUCUCGGAGUUCAGGGGUUUAGUUGCACACACAGUGACUAAAGGGGGUUUUACGCUAUAGGGGCUACUACUUCAGGGGCUAAUCUGCACCUUUUCCCUUUUUUAAUUAACUCUCAUCUCUCUCACUCAGCCCUCUUUCUCUCUCGGCCACUGCACCGCCGCUAACGGUGGUUGAAUCACCAAGUUGUAGGAUCAUCUUUUAUCAGCAACACAAAUGAUUAAUCCAUCAAAUCGACAUUAUAUAGAAAUAGCGAAAAUGAGGAGGUUAUGAUCGUUACAUUGUGAGAGGCGUCAAAUUUGGCGAUGGCGCCGACGCCUUGCCAAACAUCACAAACUCGCGAAGCUUCGAGGCGGCAAGCUUGCUUCUGCGGCGUGAUUUGGCGGCGACCUUCGCGUUGUCUUUUGUUGAAGCAAAGCACAGAGGACGACCGCAAGUUUGCUAGAGAGCAGCCAGUGGUGAUGGAGAGCGUGCGCGGCGCUCUUCGUUCGAAAUUCGAGCGAUGGAGGCAGGCNGCCGCUAACGGUGGUUGAAUCACCAAGUUGUAGGACCAUCUUUUAUCAGCAACACAAACGAUUAAUCCAUCAAAUCGACAUUAUAUAGAAAUAGUGAAAAUGAGGAGGUUAUGAUCGUUACAUUGUGAGAGGCGUCAAAUUUGGCGAUGGCGCCGACGCCUUGCCAAACAUCACAAACUCGCGAAGCUUCGAGGCGGCAAGCUUGCUUCUGCGGCGUGAUUUGGGGACGACCUUCGCGCUGUCUUU
rnacentral:lncRNA from 1 species